UGGCUCAGUAACACGUGGAGAAUCUAACCUUUGGUGGAGGAUAAUCUCGGGAAACUGAGAAUAAUACUCCAUAAACAUAGGAUGCUGGAAUGCUUCUAUGUUGAAAGGCAACGCCAAAGGAUGACUCUGCGACCUAUCAGGCUGUAGUGAGUGUAAUGGACUCACUAACCUGCAACGGGUACGGGUGUUGGAAGACAUUGCCCGGAGAUGGACUCUGAGACAUGAGUCCAGGUUCUACGGAACGCAGCAGGCGCGAAAACUCCGCAAUGUACGAAAGUACGACGGGGGAAUUCUGAGUGCUUACGCCUUGCGUAGGCUGUUUUCUUGUCUAAAAAACAAGGAGAGUAAGGGCUGGGUAAGACGGGUGCCAUCUCGUGCAAUUCUGCACUUAUUGUGUUCGUUGCACGAAGCACAAGCCGCCGCGGUAAUACCCGCGGCCCGAGUGGUGCUCAUUAUUAUUGAGCCUAAAACGUCCGUAGCCGGUUUAAUAAAUUCUUGGGUAAAUCAUAUCGCUUAACGAUAUGAAUUCUGAGAACACUGCUAAACUCGGGAAUGGGAGAGGCCAGAGGUACUUUCAGGGUAGGGGUAAAAUCCCGUAAUCCUGAGAGGACCACCGGUGGCGAAGGCGUCUGGCUAGAACAUAUUCGACGGUAAGGGACGAAGCCCUGGGGCGCAAACGGGAUUAGAUACCCCGGUAGUCCAGGGUGUAAACGCUGUAGAUUUGGUGUUGGAAAUCCUACGGGGAUUCCCAGUGCCGGAGAGAAGUUGUUAAAUCUACUGCUUGGGGAGUACGGUCGCAAGACUGAAACU
rnacentral:rRNA from 1 species